rnacentral:rRNA from 1 species
GUACACGCUGUGACUAGCAUAUCAAUAAGCGGAGGAAAAGAAACUAACAAGGAUUCCCCUAGUAACGGCGAGUGAAGCGGGAAGAGCUCAAAUUUGAAAUCUUAAAGGGUUUCCCCUUACGAAUUGUAGUUUAAAGAAGAGUUUUCUGUUGAGGUUUUGGUAAAAGUUCUUUGGAAUAGGACAUCAUAGAGGGUGAGAAUCCCGUAUUUGACCAUUACUUUCAACUUUGUGAUACACUUUCAAAGAGUCGGAUUGUUUGGGAAUGCAGUCCAAAAUGGGUGGUAAAUUUCAUCUAAAGCUAAAUAUUGGCGAGAGACCGAUAGCGAACAAGUACCGUGAGGGAAAGAUGAAAAGAACUUUGAAAAGAGAGUUAAACAGUACGUGAAAUUGUCAAAAGGGAAGCGUUUGACACCAGUGUUGUUUUUCUGAAAAUCAAUUAAAGAACUGUUUAUGCUAAGUUGUUUAGACUUUAUCAGCUAACUGUUUAGUUUUGAGCUUUUCUUUAAUGCACUUUUCAGUUAACAAGUCAACAUCAAUUUCUUUUGCUGUAAAAAAGCUUGAGGAAGGUGGCUUGAGAUUCGUCUUAAGUGUUUAUAGCCUCUUGCCUAUGCAGUCGGAGAGAUUGAGGUCUGCAGCGUAGAUCCUUCGGGGCUAAAUGCAUUUGUGCUAAGUUAUAGCAUUUUAUAGACAACUUGUUGACUAUGAUUUGUCUCGUAGCUUACUCGCUUAUGUUAUUUUACCUACGCUUAGGAUGUUGAGUCGUAGAGCACGCAG